rnacentral:rRNA from 1 species
UGCCAGCCGCCGCGGUAAUACGGAGGGGGCGAACGUUGCUCGGAUUUACUGGGCGUAAAGCGACCGCAGGCGGUUAGUUUAGUCAGAUGUGAAAUCCCGGUGCUCAACGCCGGAACUGCAUUUGAAACUGGCUAACUAGAGUCAUCAAGAGGAGAUCGGAAUUACCAGUGUAGAGGUGAAAUUCGUAGAUAUUGGGAAGAACACCAGUGGCGAAGGCGGCUAACUGGCUCGGUACUGACGCUGAGAUGCGAAAGCGUGGGGAGCAAACAGGAUUAGAUA